UGCGGAGAAGAAGCCAAGCCAAGCCAGUCAUUAUUCAACCUUUGUCGUGAACGAACAUCAUUCCGGCUAUAAAUUAGUUGGAAAAUGGCUCAAGAAGAUCUUUAAACAUUAAAUUCUUCAUCGUCCAGACCAUCAGCCAAUUAUCGAAAUGAACAUCUGCUGUCUAGCCUACGAUUUGCCAACGCAUGAAUACAGAGUAUGCGUGUGCAUAUGUUUCACAUUCAAUAGCUGUGCGUAUACGUACAUACGGAGAAAAAAGCCAAAUGCACCUUGACUUUCAUACCUUUGACAAAACGAACAUCAUUUCGGUUAUAAUUCAAUUGGAGAAUGGCUCAAAAAGAUCUUCAAACAUUAAAUUCUUCGUCGUCCAGACCAUCAAUACCGAUGAAGAUCUCAGUACCAAUCAACUGAACAAACAAAAUAUCUUCAUUUCAAUCAAAAAAAAUUUUAUUUUUAAAUCUAAUUUGUCAAAAAAUUGGGGGAACUCUUUUUUUUUCUUUUUUCGAACAUAUAAUAACAACAAUGGUUUUUGAUUUUGAUUGAUUGCUCAGCCCUUCGGAUCCCCAAUUUCCGUGAGAGAAUCGAACUCACUACCGCCGGCGCUCCGGUGCGCGCGUUUUACCACAGGGCUGUGGUGGCGGUGUGUGUCUCGAGACGAAAUCACAUUUUCUAUGAACAUCAAAAUGUAUUGUUCACUUAAUAAACGAAGUAAAUCAAAUUUAA